CGCGGUGCUGACGGAACGCAGGAUCAGCACCGCUGAGAGCCCCGCGUAGCGCAUGAGCGUGCGCCGGUAGAGGCGGCCCCGGUCAUCUGGCCCCUGCACCGUGCCCACCACCACGCACAUGAGCGCAUCGGGCAGCGGCAUGCACAGGCUUCAGGAUCCCAGCCAGGACACCUCCCCUUCUACAAUCACUACCCAGCCACUCUCCUUCAAAUGUGCAAUGACGAUAAACCAGCAUCUCUGUUGGGUGUCUGUGGUGAAUGUACCCAUUUAGAACUAAUGCUUUUGUGCAGUGCGCGACCUGUGCAACCCUACAUGAAGCUCUCUGCUAAGGCCUGAGAAAGCAGUAGAGGAUGGCCCGGCUCCUUAGGCCCCUGCACCCACGUGGGAGUAAGAAGCUCCUGGCUCCAGAUCAGCCGUUGCGGCCAUCUGGGAAGUGAACUAUCGGAUGGAAGACUCCUCUCUGUGUAACUCUUUCAAAUAAAUAAAUAAUUCUUUAAAAAAUAAAUAAAUAAAA